CCUACGGGAGGCAGCAGUAGGGAAUAUUGCUCAAUGGGCUAAAGCCUGACGCAGCAACGCCGCGUGAUCGAGACCCCCUUCGGGGGGUAAAGAUCUGUCAGUGGGGACGAACCUUGACGGUACCCACAGAGGAAGCACCGGCUAACUCCGUGCCAGCAGCCGCGGUAAUACGGGGGGUGCAGGCGUUGUCCGGAAUCAUUGGUCGUAAAGAGUUCGUAGGCGGCACGUAAAGUCUGGUGUUAAAGGCAGAGGCUCAACUUCUGUACGGAAGUUGAUAAUUGCGAGAUAGAAUGCGGUAGAGGUAAAGGGGAUUCCUGGUGUAGCGGUGAAAUGCUUAGAUAUCAGGAGGAACAUCGGUGGCGUAAGCGCUUUACUGGGCCGUAAUUGACGCUGAGGAACGAAAGCCAGGGUAGCAAAUGGGAUUAGAUACCCGUGUAGUC
rnacentral:rRNA from 1 species